UAUCAGAAAAAGAAGAAAUCCAUUCAUAUCAGAAAAAGAAGAAAUCCAUGGAAACAUAGUCAACCUCAGAUAUAUAAAUAAAUCCGGAAAUAAACAAAAUCCAGCAAUUCAACUACUGAAAACCUGAAAUGUAGAAAUACCAACUGAAAUUAGAAAUCCAAGCAAUCAAUUACUAGUAAUCUCAAAUAUUGAAAUCCAGGUCCUGCCAUGCCAGCUGCCUCCCUUCAUGCAACCUUCUGAUAAAACUUGCUCAUUUUUUGCCUCUUGCUUCAUUGUGAGUAUCGCCACGGAUACCCUUAAUAAUUGUAUUCCCUUUCAGCUUAUACAAAUUCAUGUUCUUCAUCUUCUCACCUUUCACUAGCACCGUAGCACCCUUACUAAUUUCCAUGAAUUUGCUUGCUGCAGACCAAUGAUAACCUAAUGAAUCUAAACGAAUCAAAGAAACUAUAUUUGUUCGAAGUUUUGGUAUGUAUCUGACAUCACCAAGCGUCAGUACAUUACCAUCAUGCAUCUUCACUUUCACAUUGCCAAUGCCCUUAACUUCUAAUUUCGCACCAUUGGGAAGUUCUGCAUAUCCUCCACUUGAUACGUUGAAUGUAUCAAACCAAUCUCUAUUUGAACUAACAUGAAAGGGGUAAGAGGAACCAAAAAUCCAAGAAUCAUUCAACUGAUCCCUACCUUCCGGGGCCAUUUGCACAUAACCAGUAUGUGCAAUUGAACUCAUAUGUUCUUUUCUUUCAUCAUCUGCAUUCCCUAAUUGCUCCCCUUUUAGUACCUUGCAGUCCCUUUUCAUGUGACCCCGGUUCCCACAAUUAUAACAAGUUACGCCAUCUCUUGAUUCUGAUCCCUCCCUUGACUUGCCACAGUUGUUUGAAUUU
rnacentral:misc_RNA from 1 species